rnacentral:rRNA from 1 species
GGAUUAGAUACCCUGGUAGUCCGCGCCCUAAACGAUGUAUGCUUGGUGUUGGGCUCUUCGGAGUUCAGUGCCGUAGGAAAUCUGGUAAGCAUACCACCUGGGGAGUACGAUCGCAAGGUUGAAACUCAAAGGAAUUGACGGGGGCCCGCACAAGCGGUGGAUCAUGUGGUUUAAUUCGAUGCAACGCGAAGAACCUUACCCAGGCUUGAAGUGCAGGAAGUAUGGAGAUGAAAGUCGAAAGACCCGUUAAGUCGGGAACCUGCAGAGGUGCUGCAUGGCUGUCGUCAGCUCGUGCCG